rnacentral:rRNA from 1 species
AUUGAACGCUGGCGGCAGGCUUAACACAUGCAAGUCGAGCGGGGGAAGGUAGCUUGCUACCGGACCUAGCGGCGGACGGGUGAGUAAUGCUUAGGAAUCUGCCUAUUAGUGGGGGACAACAUCUCGAAAGGGAUGCUAAUACCGCAUACGUCCUACGGGAGAAAGCGGGGGAUCUUCGGACCUUGCGCUAAUAGAUGAGCCUAGGUCGGAUUAGCUAGUUGGAGGGGUAAAGGCCUACCAAGGCGACGAUCUGUAGCGGGUCUGAGAGGAUGAUCCGCCACACUGGGACUGAGACACGGCCCAGACUCCUACGGGAGGCAGCAGUGGGGAAUAUUGGACAAUGGGGGGAACCCUGAUCCAGCCAUGCCGCGUGUGUGAAGAAGGCCUUAUGGUUGUAAAGCACUUUAAGCGAGGAGGAGGCUACUCUAGUUAAUACCUAGGGAUAGUGGACGUUACUCGCAGAAUAAGCACCGGCUAACUCUGUGCCAGCCGCCGCCGUAAGAC